ensembl:lncRNA GMDS-DT GMDS divergent transcript
ACCGCGCGGGAGGGGCGGGGCCUGCCGCCGCCACCGCCUCAGGGAAGAGGAAGGAGGCCGCGGCUUCGCGUCCCGCCUCUCGCCUGGCUGGCCGUGGGGGGCCUGGACGCAGUGGCCUCCCGAAUCUCCCAGGACCCUAAUAUCGCCCGAGGAUGCUGGGAGGAACGCUGAGCCGACCUCUCCGUUAGGCUGAAGAUUGCACAAACCAUGCUAAUGGCCAGCAUGGAUGGAGGGAGCGUGUGAGAUGUGUGGGGCAGCGUGCUGCAUCUCAGCCAACUCCAGGAGAUGGAACGAAGUCUGUUUGUGGAAACACCCUUCCCCUCUGUUUACUUGGACCUGAUUUUGAAAGUAACAAGUCACUUUAUUUGGGCUGGAGGAAAAAGCACUAAACCAGAUGUUGAGGUGACCGGGAUUCCUGGAAGACAUUCUUCUCUCCAACGAGACACAUGAUGCAUGAAGUAGGAGCCCCUGGCAAGGAGCCCAGGCUGCCAUGGCCUCGCUCGCUCCUGCUUCCCGGCAUGGCCCCGAGGCUAGCUGCCUCUGUACUGCCUGAGCAUCGUCCCCUGGCGUGUCACCAGACUACCCACUACCUGUGCUUGCACCUGCAGGUGGGCAGUUCAGUCGUUGCAGGCUGAAGCUCCCUGUCACAGGAGUCCAUCAGCACUGGAGUUUACCAAAUGGCCCAGUCCAGGAAGCAUGCUCAUGGCAAUACCCGGAGUCUCCACUGCAAGACCAGAGUGACGGAGGCAGCAGAGCUCCUCAGCAGGCCAGGAGUCUCCAGAGGCACUGCCGAAUGUCUAAGAAGCAACCUCAUUGUAUUCCCAAGACCUGGGAAUCCAGGUCUCGCAGAUACGAUGAUACAAUCUAUAGCCAGGACAUCUCUUCAUGUGUAGUUUUCAAUGAAUACUAGGAUAAGCAACUAUCCCAGUCUUCCCAGGAUUGAGGGGCUUCUCCAGAUGCUGCACUUCUGGUGCUAAAAAUGAGAAACUGAAAUGAAUUAGUCACCCAAGGAAUGCUGACCCUGUGCUAUAUGAUCACAUUUACUCUUUAAAGCAAUGCUUUGAGACAUGAAAGCCAGAUAGGGAAGAAUUUGCAGCCUCAUACUGAUUGGCCAGUUGAGGAGUCAACUCAUCUCUCUUAUAGAAAAAAGAAGAUUACAUUUACGGAAUACAGAAUAUACUGUGCUCUCUACUUACCAAGAGAUUUCUUUCUCUACUGACAACUUUCUGUUGACGUGGUUACUGUGCAGGUUCUGACAGUCGAUUCUUUCCACCUAGUUCACUGCUGAAGCUAUAAUGAUUUCCAUUUUGCAAAAAGAGGAUGAUUACUUAUUAUCUGUGACCAUUUCUCAAUUCCAGAACAAUUGAGCUGCAUAGUCCCUGCAAUCUUAUAAAGGCAUUUGGCCUGGAAGAUGCUCUGCAGCCAUGUGCCAAGAAUAACGGCUAUAGGGACAAUGUUUCAUUAACCCCAAAGCAGCAACCUGAACCUCUUACUGUACAAUAUCUGCUCCGUUCAGAAUUAGCUCGACUUGAGUCACAGGAUGAAGCUUACCAAAAGGAAUUUCCACGUCCAAGGAAGGAACCAAGAUCACUGAGAGGUUAUAGUAUGAAAAGUGAAGAGAAAAAACCUAUUCUAAACAUUUUAUUAAUUGUCAAUAAUUAUUUUAAAAUAUUUAAUAUAGUCUCCUACCUGGUCCACUGGCAUCAAGCUGCCAAAUUUACACGGUCACUUUGGGAAGCCAGCUGGCAGGCAAACAUGGAAAGUGCUGGCUCCUAGCGUAGUGAGAAGACCACAGAUAGAUGGUAAUUUUCUUCUUUGUUUUAUUUUUCUUUUUCUUCUCUCCCUCUUUUUCUUCCCUCUUGCCUUUCCCUCCCAUUGCCCACUUUCUUUUUUUGGCUGCCGAAGAUUUAUUGCCUUUCAGUACUUAUAGAUGAUGUUUUCAUAAGUUCUAAUGAGGUCCCAGCAGUUUUUAACAAUAACAGGACAUUACUGUUCCUAAGAUAUAUUAUGUGUUUUCCCUCAUCUUUCUCCCUUGAAUGAAAUGCUUAGAAGUAGGCUAACCCCCAAUUCCCUUCCCUUUACUAUGAUAAAUGGCUCCAUUACUUAAUAGGGCUAAAUACUCUGCUG